UAGGGAAUAUUGGACAAUGGGUGAGAGCCUGAUCCAGCCAUGCCGCGUGCAGGAAGAAGGCGUUAUGCGUUGUAAACUGCUUUUUGCCAGGGGAUAAAAAGACUCUGCGGAGUUUAUUGAAGGUACCUGGUGAAUAAGCCACGGCUAACUACGUGCCAGCAGCCGCGGUAAUACGUAGGUGGCAAGCGUUGUCCGGAUUUAUUGGGUUUAAAGGGUGCGUAGGCGGCCCUGUAAGUCAGUGCUGAAAUAUCCCGGCUUAACCGGGAGGGUGGCAUUGAUACUGCAGGGCUUGAGUACAGAUGAAGUAGGCGGAAUUGACGGUGUAGCGGUGAAAUGCAUAGAUAUCGUCAAGAACACCGAUAGCGAAGGCAGCUUACUAAGCUGUAACUGACGCUGAGCACGAAAGUGUGGGGAUCAAACAGGAUUAGAUACCCCAGUAGUCCCUGAGCGGGCUGGCAAGGCGCAU
rnacentral:rRNA from 1 species